UUUAUCAAGAACGACAGUUAGCUGCUCUCCCCGAGUUGACUCUUACCAAUUCCUCCACCUUUAGUUUCCAUUUUUCCACGAGUCACACUGCCUUCUUUCUCCCUCUCUGCUCGACCGGCUUCACGAAGGCCCUACUUAAAUCAACUCUCACUCAGUUUUCCCUUGUCAUCCCCGCGAACCUCAGCGCGCCUCUUGUCGUUCUCUCCCUUCAAGCAGUCUCAGCCCUUUCUUCCGUUAUUGUCGGCCACUUGGCGUCCUUUAAUGGUAACCUCUGAGCGCAACUCGCUCAAAUGCAACUCAACUCGAGACCCGCGGUAAUCAUUGCCCCGCAACCAGUUAUCGCCGCGACGUCUUCUGCUCUACAAACGGUGCUACCUCGGCUCCUCUUAAUUGAAGGACCUUGCUUAUGUAAAUGGCGUCCUCUCUGCUGUCUCGCACUUCUCGCAGUAUCCUGAAAUCCUAUGUGUCUUCUAGUUCCUCCUUGCUCGCUUUUCUCACUGUCAAAGUCAUCUCCCCAUUAAGCCCUAGUCCCAACCCUAGUGCAGCGAUUCCUUUAGGCCCCUGGGCCAAUCAACUCGCUUAUAAUUUCCAUUUUCUAUCCAGCCUUGAGUUUUCUCAUAAAAGUUUGGGAUCUCCCCGAGAAUACAACACAUUUGGUAAGAAUUAUAGAUCUUUAGAAGGAAUCUCAACAUCAUCCUCAUUGCCUAAAAUAGCAAAAGGCAGCUCAGAGGAGGAUAGAAAGGAGAGUACUGCCAAUGAAGAGUCAUGGAUUGACUAUUUGCCCAGGAAAGCUCAACCAUAUGCAAAACUUGCUCGCUUGGAUAAACCCAUCGGGACCUGGUUGCUUGCCUGGCCAUGUAUGUGGUUGAGCGUACAAAGCUGAGACCAGUUGCGAGUGGUCUUUUGACACCAUUUCAAGGGCUCUCUUUUCUUGGCUUUCAACUGCUUUUAGGUCUCGGGAUUCUCCUUCAACUUAAUAA